GCCUCUUUCGCGUCCUCGCUUCGAAGAUGACAAAGAAAAAAAGGAACAAGGGUUGUGCCAAAAAGGGCCGUGGCCAUGUGCAACCUAUUCGGUGCACGAACUGCGCCGUUGUGUUCCCAAAGACAAAGCUAUAAAGAAGUUCGUCAUUCGGAACAUAGUGGAGGCCGCAGCUAUGAGAGACAUUUCUGAAGCGAGUGUCUUCGACACCUAUGUGCUUCCCAAGCUCUAUGUGAAGCUACAUGACUGUGUGAGUUGUGCUAUUCACAGCAAGGUAGUCAGGAACCAUUCUCGGGGAGCCCGCAAGGACCCAACACCUCCACCCAGACUUAGACCUGCGGGUGCUGCCCCACGACCUCCACCAAAGCCCAUGUAAGGAGUUGAGUUCUUGAGGACUGAAGAAUAACUAUCCUUUGGGAUAAAAUAAAAUGGAAAUUACACUUAAAAAAAA